CCUACGGGGGGCAGCAGUGAGGAAUAUUGGUCAAUGGACGAGAGUCUGAACCAGCCAAGUAACGUGAAGGAUGACUGCCCUAUGGGUUGUAAACUUCUUUUAUAUGGGAAUAAAAUGUUCCACGUGUGGGAUUUUGUAUGUACCAUAUGAAUAAGGAUCGGCUAACUCCGUGCCAGCCGCCGCGGGAAUACGGAGGAUCCGCGCGUUCUCCGGAUUUAUUGGGUUUAAGGGGAGCGUAGGUGGAUUGUUAAGUCAGUUGUGCAAGUGUGCGGCUCCACCGUAAAAUUGCAGUUGAAACUGGCAGUCUUGAGUACAGUAGAGGUGGGCGGAAGUCGUGGUGUAGCGGGGAAAUGCUUAGAUAUCACGAAGAACUCCGAUUGCGAGGGCAGCUCACUGGACUGCAACUGAGACGGAGGCGCGAAAGGGUGGGUAUCAAACAGGAUUAGAUACCCUUGUAGGC
rnacentral:rRNA from 1 species